rnacentral:rRNA from 1 species
CCCGCUGAACUUAAGCAUAUCAAUAAGCGGAGGAAAAGAAACUAACAAGGAUUCCCCUAGUAACUGCGAGUGAAGAGGGAAGAGCUCAAAUUUGAAAUCUGGCAGUGUUUUGCUGUCCGAGUUGUAAUCUAGAGAAGUGCUGCCCGUGCUGGACCAUGUACAAGUCUCCUGGAAUGGAGCGUCACAGAGGGUGAGAAUCCCGUCUUUGACAUGGACUGCCAGUGCAUUUGUGGUGUGCUCUCAAAGAGUCGAGUUGUUUGGGAAUGCAGCUCUAAAUGGGUGGUAAACUCCAUCUAAAGCUAAAUAUUGGCGAGAGACCGAUAGCGAACAAGUACCGUGAGGGAAAGAUGAAAAGAACUUUGGAAAGAGAGUUAAACAGUAUGUGAAAUUGUUGAAAGGGAAACGCUUAAAGUCAGUCGUGUCGGCCAGGGAUCAACUCAGUAUUAUCUGCUGGGUGUACUUCCUGAUCUGAUGGGUCAACAUCAGUUUUGACUGCUGGAAAAGGAUAGAGGGAAUGUGGCACCUUUGGGUGUGUUAUAGCUCUCUGUCGGACGCAGUGGUUGGGACUGAGGAAAGCAGCAUGCCGCAAGGCCGGGUCGUUUCGCACCACGUUCAUGCUGAGGAUGUUGGCAUAAUGGCUAUAAUCGACCCGUCUUGAAACACGG